rnacentral:rRNA from 1 species
CCUACGGGAGGCAGCAGUGAGGAAUAUUGGUCAAUGGGCGCUAGCCUGAACCAGCAAAGUCGCGUGAAGGAUGAAUGCCCUAUUGUUUUUAAACUUCUUUUAUAUGGGAAUAAAGUUGAGGAUGUAUACUGCUUUGCAUGUACCUUAUGAAUAAGGAUCAGCUAAGUCCGUGCCAGCAGCCGCGGUAAUACGGAGGAUCAGAGCGUUAGCCGGAUUUAUUGGGGUUAAAGGGAGCGUAGGCGGGUUGUUAAGUCAGUUGUGAAAGUUUGCGGCUCAACCGUAAAAUGGCAGUUGAUACUGGCAUCUUUGAGUACAGUAGAGGGAGGCGGAGUUCGUGGUGUAGCGGUGAAAUGCUUAGAUAUCACGAAGAACUCCGAUUGCGAAGGCAGCCUGCUGGACUGUAACUGACGCUGAUGCUCGAAAGUGUGGGUAUCAAACAGGAUUAGAUACCCUAGUAGUC